UACGUAGGGUGCAAGCGUUGUCCGGAAUUAUUGGGCGUAAAGAGCUCGUAGGCGGUUUGUCGCGUCUGCUGUGAAAACUCAGGGCUUAACCCUGAGCCUGCAGUGGGUAUGGGCAGACUAGAGUGUGGUAGGGGAGAUCGGAAUUCCUGGUGUAGCGGUGGAAUGCGCAGAUAUCAGGAGGAACACCGGUGGCGAAGGCGGAUCUCUGGGCCAUAACUGACGCUGAGGAGCGAAAGCAUGGGGAGCGAACAGG
rnacentral:rRNA from 1 species